CCUACGGGUGGCUGCAGUGAGGAAUAUUGGUCAAUGGACGCAAGUCUGAACCAGCCAUGCAGCGUGCAGGAUGAAUGCCCUAUGGGUUGUAAACUGCUUUUAUACGGGAGUAAAGUCAGGUACGUGUGCCUUUUUGUAUGUACUUUAUGAAUAAGGAUCGGCUAACUCCGUGCCAGCAGCCGCGGUAAUACGGAGGAUCCGAGCGUUAUCCGGAUUUAUUGGGUUUAAAGGGAGCGUAGUUGGGUUGUUAAGUCAGUUGUGAAAGUUUGAGGCUCAACCGUGAAACUGCAAUUGAUACUGGCAGACUAGAGUGUAGUUGCGGUAGGCGGAAUGCGUGGUGUAGCGGUGAAAUGCUUAGAUAUCACGAAGAACACCGAUUGCGAAGGCAGCUUACUAAACUGUCACUGACACUGAGGCUCGAAAGUGUGGGUAGCAAACAGGAUUAGAUACCCCAGUAGUC
rnacentral:rRNA from 1 species